rfam:Salmo salar isolate Sally breed double haploid chromosome ssa01, whole genome shotgun sequence.
ACAAUACCAAUUUGUAAGUCGCUCUGGAUAAGAGCGUCUGCUAAAUGACGUAAA